rnacentral:lncRNA from 1 species
UUUCUUUGAUCUGCAUUGUUAUCGCCGGCGCCGGAGCGCAAUCUCCGGUUAAUCCUCCGACUACCACCCCUGCUCCACCGACUACCACUCCUCCCCCAACUUCAGCUCCUCCUCCAGUAACCCAAUCUCCACCUCCUGCUACUCCUCCUCCAGUUUCAACUCCACCACCGGCUACUCCACCUCCUGCAUCUCCUCCCCCAGCCACUCCUCCUCCAGCCACUCCUCCACCUGCAUCACCUCCACCUGCAUCUCCUCCACCUGCUACUCCACCCCCAGCCACUCCUCCACCUGCUACUCCUCCACCUGCUUCUCCCCCUCCUGCUACUCCACCUCCAGCUUCUCCACCACCUGCUACACCACCACCAGCAACUCCUCCUCCUGCUACUCCACCACCGGCUCCUCUCGCUGCUCCACCUGCUCAGGUUCCAGCUCCUGCUCCAAGCAAGAAGAAGUUGAAGGCUCCAG